rnacentral:rRNA from 1 species
GACGAACGCUGGCGGCGUGCCUAAUACAUGCAAGUAGAACGCUGAAGGAGGAGCUUGCUUCUCUGGAUGAGUUGCGAACGGGUGAGUAACGCGUAGGUAACCUGCCUGGUAGCGGGGGAUAACUAUUGGAAACGAUAGCUAAUACCGCAUAAUAGCAGUUAUUGCAUGAUAACUGUUUGAAAGGUGCAAUUGCACCACUACCAGAUGGACCUGCGUUGUAUUAGCUAGUUGGUGGGGUAACGGCUCACCAAGGCGACGAUACAUAGCCGACCUGAGAGGGGGAUCGGCCACACUGGGACUGAGACACGGCCCAGACGCCUACGGGAGGCAGCAGUAGGGAAUCUUCGGCAAUGGACGGAAGUCUGACCGAGCAACGCCGCGUGAGGGAAGAAGGUUUUCGGAUCGUAAAGCUCUGUUGUAAGAGAAGAACGAGUGUGAGAGUGGAAAGUUCACACUGUGACGGUAUCUUACCAGAAAGGGACGGCUAACUACGUG